UAAUUAAGCUAUUUACGCACGUGACUUAGAAUUGUGGAUGAGGGAGGAAGCUUGCAUAUUGCAAUUUAAUUAAUAUCAAUCAAUAUCAAUAUCAAUAUAUUCUGUCCUCGUAGUAUAGCUCAAGUGAUAGGAGCCGAGGGACAUAUGGGUUGAGUAUAGGAAGUCCAGAGAUCGAUUCCUAACCGGUGCAAUUUAUUUUUCUGAUGUACCAAAAAUAAAAUAUCAAUCAAUCAAUAUAUACUAGAAAAGAACAACUUCCAUUAGGCUGAUUUAGUGACGUGGCAGCACCAAAUUCAAUCUGCUCCCAGGUUAAUUCUCAUAAAAAAAUUUCAUGUGUCAUUUAAUUAAAUAACUUCUCUUCUGUUGGAUUUAUAAAAAAAUUUCAUGUGUCAUUCCAUUAGAUAGUUUUUUUUUUCAAUGUUGUGGUCUUUCUAGCCUCUUCCAUCUCGCUGUCAUCCUCCUCCCCAACAGUCGUAAUUGAACUCACCAAAGCAACAUUUUUUACCUCCCCAUAUUUAGCAACACUUUCCACCCCAUUCUGAACACCGCCAUUAAAUGAAUUAUGAUUUCUUCACACCUCAUUUUGAGGUGGAAGGAGGUGGAGGAGGAGAGAGAUAGGAAGAAAAUAAAAAGUAUGAGAGAGAAAAUAUGAGAUGUGAUAGAUGAUAGAAACAAAAAUAGGUGCAAAUGAAGUGUUUAAAAAAUGAGGUGUGUAUAUAUCAUUACUCGAAUUUUGUCAAGUUUCAUCCCAUCUUCAUCCUUCACCAACCCACAUGAAAACUCGCUAGACUUCCCAUCAACAACAACUCCCACUCUGGCAUCCACACCAUUGUUCCCUCUAUCACCCACAAAUGCAUUUUCUUUACCAAAACCCUCACCCCCACUUCCACCCAUCAUCACAUCACAUCCAACCUUCUGACCCAACAAACCAUUUCCCCCUCCACCAUCAACUCCAACCUUUUGAUCAUGGACCAGAACCUCACCACCACCACCAUCACCACCACUCAGUGACGGAUCCAGAAAUGUUUGGUUGUGGGGCAAUAUGUCCAAAAAAAAAAUCUUUGCAAAAGUUUUUAUAAGAAUCAUUUUAAUCAAAAAAACAAGUGAUAAAAAAUGACAAUAUGGUUUGUUGGUUUACUGCUAAAUGGAAGGCCAAUAAAAAAAUGAAAACCAAGUGAUGUAUAAUAGCUCUUACAUAAUGGGUAGCAGCAAAUUCUUUGAAAAAAAUAACGAUUAAUGUCUUCCACCAAAGAAAAGAUUUGGUGGGAUAUUGUGAGGAAAAUUUGGAAAGGAGGAAGUUGGGGUCGGUUCAUGUAAUUUUCCAACUCAUAUGAGAAAAGACACAAAUUGAACAAAAACAGAGAACACUACUACAGAAAUGACAUUUUGUCACGCCUCUAUUGUCACGGUUAUAGGCGGAACCGUGAUAAUAGAGCAAUUACCACGGUUAUAAAAGGAACCGUGGUAAUAGGUAACAAUAUUUUAUUAAUUUUUUUAUGGACCGUGACAAUAGAGAACUUUACUCUUCAAAUUUUUUCAGAAUUUUUCCUAAACCCUCUCUCCCACUCGAUCUCCCACUCUCCAUCGACCCGUUCCCUAUCUACCACCGCCGCUGCUCUCUUCUUCCUCCGAUCGUAACCCUUCAAAUCCCUAACCCUUUGGCUAGCUCUAUCUCUCCCUCGCCGGCGGCGACGUCCGCGUCCUCAUCAUCCCCUUCCCCGAUGAACAUGCCCCUGUCGUCGACGACGACCUGAAGCAUCCCCUGCAGCGGAGAUCCAGAACCCGCAGAGCGAGGAACUCGUCGUUGCUCCGCACUGCCGUCAGGUUCGCGAAAUCCGAGCACCACAAAGGUGAGGGGAACGACAUGGCGGCGGUGGCGGAGAAGGAGAAGAAGGAGUGGAGCGAAGAGGACGUUGAGGUUUGAAGAAGCAGAUGACGAAGCAUCUCGUGUGGAAACCUGGACAGUGGGAAGCGAUGCAGCCUUCAUUGUGCAACACAGGGUGGACAACAUGAUCUGGGAGAAGAGAAGCGACGAUUCUGAAAGGAAUUCUGGAAAUCCAAGGCUGCUUGUGUGAAAAGAGUUGCAGAAUUGAAGAAAGGGUUUCAUAAUGCAAAAGCUACUUCCUAAUGGGAAAAUCAGAGUUAGAGCUUGGAGCAGACAUUGAAAUAUUUACAGGUCAUAAAGAUUAGAGAAAUUGUUGGCUUGAAGUUAAAAAGGAGAAGAAAAAAACUAGAUUUUGUGGUUGAGCAGAGCUGCAUCAAUUGUGGUGUUUGCAUGGGCACGUAUUUCAGUGAAACAUGUAAACUCAAUGAUGAUGAUGUAAGUGAUUCAUCUUGGUCGAAUAGACAGGAAGAUUGAGUUUCCUCUCCCUGAUAUCAAGACAAGGAGACGCAUUUUCCAGAUACACACAUCAAGGAUGACAUUGGCUGAUGAUGUCAACUUAGAAGAUUUUGUUAUGACUAAAGAUGAGUUCUCUGGAGCUGAUAUAAAGGCAAUAUGUACUGAAGCUGGUUUACUUGCUUUACGAGAACGCCGAAUGAAGGUUAAGGUCUUUUGCUAGUGUAUUAGCAAUUAUUUAUACUUCAGUGAGACAUGUAAACUCAAUGAUGAUGAUGUAAGUGAUUCAUCUUGGAACAAAGGAAUUUUGUGUUUGUGUGUGUGUGAGAGUAUGUUCUCAAUAACAAUUAGUAUUGUUUUCUUAUUCAAGGUUGGAAUAUUUGAGUAAUUUGGCUAGAAUAUCUGA